rnacentral:tRNA from 1 species
CUGGUUAUACACCUUAUUUGUUUAGCAAUGGGAUUUUUAAAUGCACAAAUAUCUUAUUAAAUAAACUGU